ACAUCUAUGGAUGCUAAGUCUUUUCAGGAAUCCAGCUGAACCCAUUCAAUGCCUUUAAUUAGAGACCUUUUUCAACUGCCACAACUCUUCAAACAUGACGGAGUGACCUUGCCAGCACUUGCUUCUUCAGGACUCUUAUGUUCAUUAGUAACAAAGCAAUGAAAAGAAUACCUGUCAGACUUUGGUUGCCUCUAAACUUCCUAAAUACAUGGGAGCAAGUGAAUGUUCUAUCAGUGGUGCUGGUUCCACAACUGUGAUGUAAAUAAAUCCCAGGUAUUGUGAUGUUAUGCGUUAGACCACAUGGCUGCUAACACUUUCCUGUGAUGUGCAUCUUCAUAUUUGUAGGAGCUUCCUAUCUAUAAGAGGAAAGACAGAUGCUGCUAUCUCAGAGGCAAAGCAUAUUAAAGGACUCUCAGCCUGUGGAUAUCCCUGUACUUCUCUUGGCUGCCAGUUUCCCUUUCCAGCUCGGCUGUGCAGGAGAUCACACAGGUAACGUGCAGGAAAAUCUGUGUAGUACCACCACUGAAGCCCACACAGAAAUAAAAUAAGACAAUGUCUGCCACAAGAAUCAUAGAAUCUGAACAUCAUACUUAAAGUAUUAGCCUGCACAGCUUUGCAGUGGUGUAAUUAUGUUAUAUACGGAGAAGCUCGAUGUGUGGACCUACCAAAACACAUUGUUUUUGUUUAUGCUGCAAAGCUUAACAAACUGAAUAGCACAGCAAGUUGUCUGCCAGAAGAUACCAUGUGGCUGACAAAAGGACAUGUAAAAUUAGAGCUUUUGAAAAAAAAAAAAAAAAAAGACAAUUUUUUAUGUCAGUGUUGAAAUUGAAAAGAAAAAAAAACUUUGAUUAGCUAUACAGAUGUCUUUAUUAAUGAUGGGUAGGAAGGGAAUUUCUUGUUCUAUGAAAAUUAGAUACUCAAAAAAUACUAUUCCUUUCCAACUGAGAUGCAAAUUAAAGCUGUUCUUUAAUUUAAGCUUAGUUCUGAAAUUGUAUUCCAUUUCAUACCAACAACAACAAAAAAAUAGGAAACUAUACAUUUUAUUUCUGAAAAGAAGCUGAAAUGCUCCCUUUUGACAGUUCUGCAACAUUUUCCUAAAAAAAACUGUAAAAAAGCUCAGACAGAAUGGCCUGCUCAUAUAAUUAUUUUAUUUUAUCAGUGUUUUCUGAAAUGUCAAAAAAAUCCUUCUUGUCCUAGUCAAUAUAAUAUCUCCAAGAAUACAUCUGGAAUAAUUACACUGUCUGUAGUUGCUUGUAGUUUUCACUCUUGUAGAAGAGGCCAAUGUCAUGUUGCUUGAAAUUUCCUUGAAGCUGUGCCUGUCACUUAAACUUGCUGGUAUAACUCUGAUAUAUCUUCACUGAUAAAUGUUUCUUUUUGUC
ensembl:lncRNA